CACUAACCCUUAUUGAUUGGCAUCCUUGCCAUUUGGAAAGAGAAGCCACCAAAGACGAGCGCGGGGCGGUGUUCCUCGUGUCAUGAUUGUUUCACUGGCUGGCUUCAGAUGGUUUUCGUUUGGUCUCGACCUCGAAGUCAGAAGGCCUUUGCCCGUGCCUGUAAAUGCUGUAGCCUGUCCCGCUCUUCUUGUGUAUCAGCUUGCUUUUUGGUGUGGUAGUGUGCUGUUGGGCUUGUAUGAUGUCUGGUCGAUUCAGUGACAAGAUUGACGAGUGAGUGAGUGUUGAUCUGAUACAUGUACAAUUACACACCAUUUUUUGUUGAAGAGUUUCGACACAUUAUCUUUUGAUUUGUCGUGUGCUGUGUCUCCCGGAAGUGUGGAUCGAUUCCACUCAGUGACUCCAUGUUGACACAAAGAAUGUUGGUGGCGUAUUUGUAAGUGUUUUCAUAUGUUACCUAUCUCCUUAUUCAGUUUGCCAAACAAGCUAACCAGACACAAUUCUUAUUCAAGUUUGAUCCAAAUUUCUC
rnacentral:lncRNA from 1 species